rnacentral:tRNA from 1 species
UAUAUCUUAUUAUAAAAUGUAAAUUAGUUUUUGAUUCUAGGAGUAAUAGUUUGAAUCUAUUAGGUAUAU